GGACGUGUGGCGAAAUGGUUACCGCGUUCGGCUUCGAUUGUCAAGUCUUCAGUUCGACACUGAAUUCUACAAAAGACACCGAAAGAUUCCAGGUUCGACCCCUGGCACGUUCG